rnacentral:rRNA from 1 species
GACGUAGGGCGCAAGCGUUGUCCGGAUUUAUUGGGCGUAAAGAGCUCGUAGGCGGUUCGACAAGUCGGGUGUGAAAACUCCGGGCUCAACCCGGAGACGCCACCCGAUACUGUCGUGACUGGAGUCCGGUAGGGGAGUGGGGAAUUCCUGGUGUAGCGGUGAAAUGCGUAGAUAUGCGGAGGAACACCGAUGGCGAAGGCAAUCCCCUGGGCCUGCACUGACGCUCAUGCACGAAAGCGUGGGGAGCAAACAGG